UACAGAGGUCUCAAGCGUUGUUCAGAUUCAUUGGGCGUAAAGGGUGCGUAGGCGGCGCGGUAAGUCGGGUGUGAAAUCUCGGAGCUUAACUCCGAAACUGCAUUCGAUACUGCCGUGCUUGAGGACUGGAGAGGAGACUGGAAUUUACGGUGUAGCGGUGAAAUGCGUAGAUAUCGUAAGGAAGACCAGUGGCGAAGGCGGGUCUCUGGGCAAUUCCUGACGCUGAGGCGCGAAAGCGUGGGGAGCAAACGGG
rnacentral:rRNA from 1 species